GAUGAAGAACGUAGCGAAAUGCGAUAAGUAAUGCGAAUUGCAGAAUUUCCGUGAGUCAUCGAAUCUUUGAACGCACAUUGCGCCCCCUGGUAUUCCGGGGGGCAUGCCUGUCCGAGCGUCAUUGCUGCCCUCAAGCACGGCUUGUGUGUUGGGCCUCCGUCCUCCUCCCGGGGGACGGGCCCGAAAGGCAGCGGCGGCACCGCGUCCGGUCCUCGAGCGUAUGGGGCUUCGUCACCCGCUCUUGUAGGUCCGGCCGGCGCUUGCCGACACAUCAAUCUUUUUUCCAGGUUGACCUCGGAUCAGGUAGGGAUACCCGCUGAACUUAAGCAUAUCAAUAAGCGGAGGA
rnacentral:misc_RNA from 1 species